CUUCCCCCCUCCCCCUCCCUUUUUAAUUAAACAUCUAAGAAAAUAAUUCUUCCCUUAAUUGUCCUCAAAAAGUAGUUACACCUGCUAUGGUUUGAGAUAUUUAACUACUCCCUGGCUUUUGAGUAUGCCUCCAUUUCUCUCUGUCCUAUUAUUCAUACUCUGGGAAAAAAAUCUGGAUGCACUAGCCCUAAGUCAACAGGUAUGUCCUGUUAAAACAAUCUGGAUAAUGAAGAUCUCAGGACCUCAGGGAAACAGGCACCUGCUCUAAUCAUAAAAUAAUAAAGAAAAAACCUCUAAGAUCAUCCAGUCCAACCAUCAACACAUCACCACCAUGCCCACUAAACCAUUUCCCUCAGUGCCACAUCUUCCCUUUCCUCGAACACCUCCACAGACAAUGUCUCCACCAGCCUGUUCCAAUAACACAUCACUCUUUCUGAGAAUAAAUUCUUCCUAAUAUCCAACAGGAACUUUCCCUGGCACAACCUCUCAUCCAUGUGCUAGUUAUAUGGGAGAAGAGGCUGACCUCCACGUUGCUACAAUCUCCUUUCAAGGAGCUGCAGAGAGCGAUAAGGCCUCCCCUGAACCUCCCCAACUCCAGACUGAACAAUCCCAGCUCUUUCUGCUGCUCCUCAUAAGACUUGUGUCCCGGCCUGACCUUUCACAGCUUUGUUGCCUUUCUUUGGGCACACUCCAGGAUCUCAACAACUUUCGUACUGUGAAGGGCCCAGACCAGAAUACAGCACAGAACAGGUGUUGUGUACAUCAGAGCUGAGUACAGGAAGACGAACACCUCCCUGCUCCUCCUGGCUGCACUGUUUCUGAUACAGGCCAGGAUGCCCUUGGUCUGCAUGGCCAACUGAGCAUACUGCUGGCUCAUGUUCAGCCAGCUGUUGACUAGAGCUCCCAGAUCCUUCUCCAGCACGCAGUUUUCCAGCCACUCAAUUUCAACCCUGAACUACUGCACUUGGUUUUCAGGAACUUCAUACCAUUGGCCUCAGCCCACCAAGCCAGCUUACCCAGAUUCCGCUGUAAAGCCUUCCGACCCUCAUGCAGAUCAACACUUCCUUCCAGUUUGGUGUUAUCUGCAAAUCUACUGAUGGUGCACUCUAUCCCCUCAUCCAGAUCAUCAGUGAAGAUGUUGGUAACAUACAUAAUAAGUAGAUGUGGUCUAAAUUAAUUGCAAAGAAGAAUAAGAAAUUAUGUAAGGUCCUUUCCAUUCACGUAUUCAUUAGGAUAAAAUUUUGCUGUUAUUUUGUUUUGCAAGCAUAGGAAGGAUACUGUUACAGAAUUUGAUUAUGCAAUCCCUGUGAUGAUAUUCAAAGACAUGCUAUUCCUAAACAAACUUGCUGCUAUUCAAAGAUUCAGUUGUAAGGAGUGCUGGCAAUGCAAACUCCAGGAUGUGUGAUCCAGGGACAUUAUGUCAGUGUUUCCUACAAUGUUAGAAGGUGAAAGCCACUUCACUUUAAGCCGCCAACUGCAGUUCAGGUCUUAAAAAUCUCACUUUUACACUAAGAUCUGCUGAAUAGCAAUCCUAGUUUAAUUAAAUGUGGUAUAGAUUCAGUCCUCCUGGGGACUUAAACAUUGCGAAGAUAUUGUUUCAUAACUAGGACAUUGCCUGACAGAGCCUUAGCAGAAAAAAAUGGAAAGAAGUUUCUGUAUUAGAAAAGUGAAAAAUGUGCUCGUCAAAAUUAUUGUAUGCAUUUAGGGAAAAUAGUUGCAAUUAAACUGAUUAUAAUUUAAGAGGAAUUAAAUGACUAACAAUAAAGAUUGCAUCUUAAUUUUUCUGCAUUCACCAGGCAUCGUUCUCUGGCCUUGUACGUGAACCACCUGAUACUCUACAAGGCCACAGGAAAGAGUUUAUCUAAACAAAGUCAUCUGUUUUCUUUAAAAAUGCAUGAAUGUUUGCCAGGUGGGGAAGCUGCAGUUUGAAGUCUCUCCUUUAGCAAAAAUUGUCAAGGUAAAAGAGGAUUAUAUACCUGAAAUACACAUCUUUUAAAUAUAAUAAAAAACUAGGAAGUGCAUACUGCAUCCAUCAGUAUCUCUUAAUUCCCUUCUAGGGAAACUCAGCUGAGUUUCUUCAAUGUUUAUGCUCAUCCUCGACUCAUUUCUUUAAGGCUAUCAGAAAAAUAUAUUGUGUUCAGUGUUCCAAUUGAAGGAACUUAAAAGAGCCUUCAGUCGUGCACAGGAACUCUUACAGGAAGGCAUACACUGAAGCACUACAGAGGGAACUUCUUGAGUUUCCAGCAGGUUCUCAGUUUGAGUUCUCAGACAUAAAUGGCAUCACCUUAGAUUCAAUACCAAUAUUUUAAAUUAGUGUCUCUGUCCAGAAACAGGGUGGGGAACUGUUCCACCAGAUCCCCAUAUUUGGAGGCUUAAUAAUAGAGAAAGAAGAAAGAAUAGAUCGAUAGACUUUUUUUUUCCUCACAGACUAAACCUUCCCUGAAAACAGGUACCAUGACAGUAACAUCUGACUGAGAAUCCAAGUACAUUGCACCUUUUUAAUCACCUCAGCCCUGAGAAGCUAAUAUUUCAGUGAUGAGUACUUAACAAGACAUGACUAAUGCAAUUUAAUGCACUUAGAAGUCUUGAUAAAAAUAACCAUUUAUCAAAGAAAGCUUUUUAGUAAAAAAAAUAUAUGAGUUUGAGUAUUCUUUCAGCCUUUGCAAAGUUAAAUCGUUUCACUCAAAUUAAGACUUUAAAAGCCUUCAGAAACAUUAUUCAAAAACAUUUUGAUGUGCUGAAUUGUUAGCCACUUUUUAAGUUACAUCAAAGAAGGAGGAAAUUAAAAUUUUAGUAAUACUUCAAAAUAUCCUAUUUUGAUUACUUGACCUGAUAUCAAACUGUAUGGAAGAGCUGUACUCAGAAAUGUGAGUCUGUCAUCAUCUCUGCUCCUGGACAUUAAAUUUCCUUAAGCACAGCAUAAAAGAAGCAAAGGGACUGGGAAAAUUUAACAUCUAAAAUUUAGUAUCAAGCAAAAUAUUUGGAAGUGGUUUAAUUUCCUUACCUUAGUUGUAAAUUGACCAUUAUUAUUCUGAACUAAGGUUUAUCAAAUGUUAUGUGAAUGUUAUAGAACACAUUUCACAAUAUAUGUCAAACAAAUUGUUGGAUAAGUUCUUUGUAAUGUCUUACAUAUGGGGUAACACUGAUUCACUUUAGAAUGAGGACAAUACAAUCUUCAAACAGAUUUUGGAUUUUGAGAUAUCAACUAAUUCAUUCAAGCAUUUUCACCUAGAACUCAUCAGAAAAGCAACUGCUCCCUUUACCCUAGUUAAUGUCAAGUCUCAUAUCUAAUGGACACUACCAUUAGCCAAAAUCCAGGAUACUUGUUUGGCUAAUUAGAUUUAUUAAGAGCAGUAGCCAUUCAAAGAACAGAAUGUUCCAGUUCUAAGCAAAAGCUAGCAAUUCCAGGACUUUAAAAUUGCUUCCUUGGCCUUUGCAAACUUCUGAACUUUUCAUCUAUUUAGUGAUGGGUGGAAUAAGCAAAGGCCGCCACAGAAUCAAGAGCAACAGUUGAACAGCAAGACUAUCUUAAGCAAGUUACAGAACAGCGAUAAAAAUAUAACUUUUAAUUAUGUUUUGUAUUUGUACAUAUUAAUUUACACACACACAUACAUAUAUAAUCUGAACAAAGAAACCUUUUCCAGAUACUGGAAAAUAUCAACUGAAAUGCAAAUUUAACACCACCAUUCCCUUAGCUAAUCGUGAUUUUGCUCGUAAUUGUGUCUGCAUACUGCUUUUUGUCGUUUAAUUUUUUCUUAAGGUUCCUGCACUUAUUCUAAAGGAAAUAUAGCAACAGAAAACUAGUGAGCAGUUUCAAUCCUUCAAAAUCCUUCAAAAUUAUUCAUAAUCCAAAAAGUUCACCAAAAACACAACCUAUACAAGCUUAUGUGCAAAGGGAAACAUUUUAAACUUGUAUUUGACUGCAAAAGAUCUUUGAAUGUUGAACAAUUCUGACAGUCUCUACUUAGCUGUGAAUGAUCCUAUAACACGUCAUAUUCAGUAAAUUCAUUAUUAAAACUUGCCUUCACCUUUAUGUAUAAAUCACACUGUAUAUUAACAAAGAACCAGGAAGGUGCACUUCAGGUUGAGAGCUGCACCCAUCAUACACUUUUGACUUCAUUCUGAACAGCAUGUUUUUCACUUUAUAGCAGAAGAAACUGCUUAAGAGAAACCUUGAGCAAAACAACAAUAUACUGCUUUGAGACAUCAAACUCACUACAGAUGUGUGUUCUUCCCUCUGCACAACCUACAGCUUGGUCAGUUUGGUUCAUGGGUUUACAAUAUUUGUUCUGAAAGAAAAAGAGAUCCCUACCCCUCAAGAGUGCUCCACAGCUGAAGUCAAUGGGUAAAUCAUGAUGAUCAUCUGUUAGAAUUAACAGUUUAGUGUGAACUGCAUCUCUGGUUUUCUGACCGGCCUGCCAACACACAGUGCUCUUUAUCUUCCUAUAAGCUGUGGAGAUUUGUAAAAUUGAGCAUGUGGAGGAAAAAAGCAUGAGGUAAAUUCCUUCUUGUACUUCUGUUUUUAAAACCUAUUCUAGGACACAGAGAGCCUCUAAAUGGUUGCAUCCAGCACAAUGUAGCAGAGACAUCUCUAUCAGCUAUCGUACUUUGCAUGAUCUUUACAGAAAGGCCCAGCUGAAAGUCUCCACACUGGUACUGAUCUAACUUUUCAGUGAGCUUACACAUUGUAAAAAUUAUUCUGGAGCUCUUUUCAACAUGUUUGUCUCAAGAAAAGCAGAUCUGAUAAUUCAGUUCCAGUAUUUCAGUAAACACUUCUUUCCACUCUAGGUAAUAUAAAACAACUAAAGAAUUUCAUAUGAUUGAGUGAGUUGCAGAACAAAAGCAUUUGUUCAAAAUACUUAAUCCACUGUCAAAAUGAGGCAUAGAUUUUAAAAGCUACAGGAAACAUUAGCAACUCUCUGUUGCUAAGUAAAUCCUAUCAUAUGGGAGAAUUGCACAAUUUGCCCCUAUUUAAGAAGACCUAUUUUUCACCACAAUUGCGGAUGUAAGAAUUUGUAGCUUUAAGCAUUUAUUUUUGUGCCAAUAACCAAAGUGCUUUUGGUCUCUCCACAAUUCCAUCCAUCUGAAGGAAAGCUGAAGAGGGAAAAUAAGAUAUAUAUGUUUCUAGGAAAGACAGCGGAGCAAUUUCACCAGUCAAACUGCCAAAAAUUUGGUGUCUUUCAGACUAUCACUCAGACACAUGAACAUAGCACCCUCACUUUUAGUACUCUGCACUGACUAUCUAGUGGAUGAUUUGGAGGACCAACGGAAAAAGAGGGUUUCGUAUCUUAAGAAAAACCAACAGAUUUGCCAAAUAUUCCACAACCAUUUUUAAAGUUCCUCUGUGAAAAACAUUUGUUGUUUUUUUCAUUCUGUUCCAGUAAAUAACUAACCAGGUUUUCAAGGUCAGUUGAGUGCCUGCUAUCCCUACCGGUUGCUGUGAUGCUCUCACCUUGAGGUGCUCCAGUGAAAACAGAACUCUCUGGGGAAAAGGCUGUGUGAAUGAUGUCACAUGUAUACAAUGUAUGUAGUCUGAAAAGCGAAGUUACUGAACUGCACAUCCUAACGCAACUGCCAGAUUCUGCCGCACUUAAAAGGGUGCUGCAGGCUCAGUGCCUACUGUAAAUACCAGUUAUAAGUGAGAACUCGUUUUGGAGAAUUCAUAUGGUAAUAUUCAGUACUAACUAAAAAUUUGUCUGUCUGGAGAGUGCAACGCAGCCACAUUAAGCUCUUGUAAAUGAUAGCACUGCUUUCAAGAGCCUCAGGCUAGGAUGAUGGUCCUGAAGAUGACUGUGAAGGCAACAUCAUGCACACGUCUUGGAGCUACCAGAGGAGCCAUCAAAUCUGGAGAGAAGCCUUUGAGGAUGCUUCCCUGGAUGAAGCUGUUUGAAAAUGCAGCAUUUGAAAAGCAUCUAACCAGCAAUUGCCACAGCAGUAAGAUUCUAUAUAAGGCAGCAGCCAGAAAAAAAUCCCUUGUCAGUUAUAACAUUAAGUUUGUUCACAGGCCUGUUCUUAAUUGGCAUAAUAUAAUAAAUAUGCAAAUUUAGUAGCUGUUAAUGACAGGAGUUAUUUCCCACUUUUGCUUUAAAAUCCAACAGAGUUAUUGCUAUAUGUAUCUCUU